UGGAAUUUGGGAACUAUCUGUGAAUAC
rnacentral:piRNA from 1 species